UACGUAGGGAGCGAGCGUUGUCCGGAUUUACUGGGUGUAAAGGGUGCGUAGGCGGGUCUGCAAGUCAGAUGUGAAAUACCGGGGCUUAACUCCGGAGCUGCAUUUGAAACUGUAGAUCUUGAGUGAGGUAGAGGCAAGCGGAAUUCCCAGUGUAGCGGUGAAAUGCGUAGAUAUUGGGAGGAACACCAGUGGCGAAGGCGGCUUGCUGGGCCUUAACUGACGCUGAGGCACGAAAGUAUGGGGAGCAAAC
rnacentral:rRNA from 1 species